rnacentral:rRNA from 1 species
AUUGAACGCUGGCGGAAUGCUUUACACAUGCAAGUCGAACGGCAGCACGGACUUCGGUCUGGUGGCGAGUGGCGAACGGGUGAGUAAUGUAUCGGAACGUGCCCAGUCGUGGGGGAUAACGUAGUGAAAAUUACGCUAAUACCGCAUACGAUCUAUGGAUGAAAGCGGGGGAUCGCAAGACCUCGCGCGAUUGGAGCGGCCGAUAUCAGAUUAGGUAGUUGGUGGGGUAAAGGCCCACCAAGCCAACGAUCUGUAGCUGGUCUGAGCGGACGACCGGCGACACUGGACCUGAGACACGGUCCAGACUCCUACGGGAGGCAGCCGUGGGGAAUUUUGGAAAAUGGGCGAAAGCCUUAUCCAGCCAUUCCGCGUGAAGGAUGAAGGCCCUCGGGUUGUAAACUGCUUUUGUACAGAACAAAAAGGUUUCUACUAAUACUAGGAGCUCAUGACGGUACUGUAAGAAUAAGCACCGGCUAACUACGUGCCAGCCGCCGCCGUAA